rnacentral:rRNA from 1 species
ACCCUCUUUCUAGUCCCACUCUUCUCCAAUAGAGCUCCCUCACUGAGCGAGCAUUCGGCAUUCCUAAUAUGCUCCACUCAUUCUACGCCAAGCACCCAAUCACGGGAUCAGAAUCACACUCUAGAUCAUACCUUUCACGAAAGAAAAGGACAGGCAGCCGCUACUAAACCAAGAUCUCCAUCUCUUGACUCCGUCAAUCAAUCUUACCUUAUAGGGCACAACUGGUAG